rnacentral:rRNA from 1 species
AUUGAACGCUGGCGGCAUGCCUUACAUAUGCAAGUCGAACGGUAACGCGGGGCAACCUGGCGACGAGUGGCGAACGGGUGAGUAACGCAUCGGAACGUGCCCAGUAGUGGGGGAUAGCCCGGCGAAAGCCGGAUUAAUACCGCAUACGACCUAAGGGUGAAAGCGGGGGAUCGCAAGACCUCGCGCUAUUGGAGCGGCCGAUGUCAGAUUAGGUAGUUGGUGAG